UGGCGGACGGGUGAGUAACACGUGGGUAACCUACCCAUCAGAGGGGGAUAACACUUGGAAACAGGUGCUAAUACCGCAUAACGUCGCAAGACCAAAGAGGGGGACCUUCGGGCCUCUUGCCAUCGGAUGUGCCCAGAUGGGAUUAGCUAGUAGGUGGGGUAACGGCUCACCUAGGCGACGAUCCCUAGCUGGUCUGAGAGGAUGACCAGCCACACUGGAACUGAGACACGGUCCAG
rnacentral:rRNA from 1 species